GACCCGUAGCGAACAGCUCAGUAACACGUGGCCAAGCUACCCUAUGGACGUGGACACCCUCGGGAAACUGAGGCUAAUCCGCGAUACGGCUCCCACGCUUGAAUGCGGGGAGCCGGAAACGCUCCGGCGCCAUAGGAUGCGGCUGCGGCCGAUUAGGUAGACGGUGGGGUAACGGCCCACCGUGCCGAUAAUCGGUACGGGAUGUGAGAGCAAAUAGCCCGGAGAUGGAAUCUGAGACAAGAUUCCAGGCCCUACGGGGCGCAGCAGGCGCGAAACCUUUACACUGCACGCCAGUGCGAUAAGGGGACCCCGAGUGCGAGGGCAUACAGUCCUCGCUUUUGUACACCGUAAGGAGGUGUACGAAUAAGGGCUGGGCAAGACCGGUGCCAGCCGCCGCGGUAAUACCGGCAGCCCGAGUGAUGGCCGCUGUUAUUGGGCCUAAAGCGUCCGUAGCCGGCCGAACAAGUCUGUCGGGAAAUCCAUCCGCCUAACGGAUGGGCGUCCGGCAGAAACUGUUCGGCUUGGGGCCGGAAGAUCCGAGGGGUACGUCCGGGGUAGGAGUGAAAUCCUGUAAUCCUGGACGGACCGCCGGUGGCGAAAGCGCCUCGGAAGGACGGACCCGACGGUGAGGGACGAAAGCUGGGGUCUCGAACCGGAUUAGAUACCCGGGUAGUCCCAGCCGUAAAC
rnacentral:rRNA from 1 species